UACGGAGGGUGCAAGCGUUAUCCGGAUUCACUGGGUUUAAAGGGUGCGUAGGUGGGUUGGUAAGUCAGUGGUGAAAUCUCCGGGCUUAACCCGGAAACUGCCGUUGAUACUAUCAAUCUUGAAUAUCGCGUAGGUAAGCGGAAUAUGUCAUGUAGCGGUGAAAUGCUUAGAUAUGACAUAGAACACCAAUUGCGAAGGCAGCUCACUAAACAGACAUUGACGCUGAGGCACGAAAGCGUGGGGAUCAAACAGG
rnacentral:rRNA from 1 species